UCCAGGUGUAACGGUGAUGGUAAC
rnacentral:siRNA from 1 species